rnacentral:rRNA from 1 species
AGGACGAACGCUGGCGGCGUGCUUAACACAUGCAAGUCGAACGAUGACCCGGAGCUUGCUCCGGUGAUUAGUGGCGAACGGGUGAGUAACACGUGAGUAACCUGCCCUCCACUCUGGGAUAAGCACUGGAAACGGUGUCUAAUACCGGAUACGAGCUUCCGCCGCAUGGUGAGGAGCUGGAAAGAAUUUUGGUGGGGGAUGGACUCGCGGCCUAUCAGGUAGUGGUGAGGUAAUGGCUCACCAAGCCGACGACGGUAGCCGGCCUGAGAGGGUGACCGGCCACACUGGGACUGAGACACGGCCCAGACUCCUACGGGAGGCAGCGAGGUGGGGAAUAUUCGCAACAAAUGGGACGAAAAGCCGUAGAUGGACAGGACAACGCCGCGAGGACGGGACGACCGGCCGUUCGGUUACGUAACCGUUCGUUUUAG